CACACAACAGAAGAAACCACGCUGGUGAGGUCAGCAGGGGACAGGGAGACCCUCCCUGCGGGAGCCGCUGCUAGAGGGAAAGGCAGCGUUGGAUCGGAUGCCGGCCCCAGCCUGGGAGACGUGCUUCCUCUGCAGCCUGUGAUCAGGAGCGAAGUGUAGAGACCAGAAUCGUUCAGAGGCAGGGCUGGUCCCUGUUGAUUUAUGACUCAGGUGGAAGAUAGAGGAGGCUAUACAGGGAGGCUCAGCUGUGCC
rnacentral:lncRNA from 1 species